rnacentral:rRNA from 1 species
CUUAAUCCAACAUCGAGGUCGCAAACCCCCCUGCCGAUAAGAACUCUCAAGGGAGAUAACGCUGUUAUCCCUAAGGUAAUUUAAUCUUACAAUCAAAAUAAAUGGAUCAAGCAAACAUAAAUAAAUAUAACAACACAAAGGAGGGGUUAAAUAAUAUCCCUCCCAUCACCCCAACAAAACAUAUUAGACAGCCCUAGUGAACCCUCACAAACAGAAAAAGACCAUAAUAAAUGUCAAACUCUAUAGGGUCUUCUCGUCCCAUAAAAACAUCUAAGAAUUUUAACUCAAAGACCAAAUUCAAUAAACAAUUCAAAAUUAAGACAGCUUAUGUCUCGUCAAGCCAUUCAUACCAGAUCACAAUUAAAGAACUAAUGACUAUGCUACCUUUGCACGGUCAAAAUACCGCGGCCCUUCAACAUUCAAGGUCAGUGGGCAGGCCAUACUUCAAAAACUAA